UCUCUGUGUUUGCAUAGCUCUCUCCAUAAUGGUGCUGUCUCUCUGCUGGGAUCACCCAGUGCUGUCGUUAGUAAAAUCUAGUGACUACCUUGCACAACAACAACAACAAAAAAAAUAACCCUGUAGGAACAGGAAAUUGGAAAAAAGCCCCGAGUCUUGCUCUUAGUUAUUCAGGUUUUAGUUUUGUCUCUGAGUCACAGGUUAUGGCUCUUCAACAUGUGAGGUUUAUGUAGACUUGCUAAAGAGAUCUGUCCUGAUAAAUGGGUCGGAUGCUUUUUAUAGAGUUCUCCACUGGGUCCACUCCAUCAUAAUGAAGCUUCAACACAGGCCUCCACAGAGCUCCAGGAGAGAAAUCUGGGAAGGAGAAAGUGAAGGGAGAUUGGAACACUGGAGUGCAACAUCUGUGCUUUGCUUCACCUUCCUCAGGACCAUUCAG
rnacentral:lncRNA from 12 species